AGAGUUUGAUCCUGGCUCAGGAUGAACGCUAGCGACAGGCUUAACACAUGCAAGUCGAGGGGCAGCGGGAAGGUUAGCUUGCUAACCUUUGCCGGCGACCGGCGCACGGGUGAGUAACACGUAUGCAACCUGUCCGGUACAGGGGGAUAAGCGGCGGAAACGCCGUCUAAUACCGCGUGACAACCCGAGGGGGCAUCCCCUUGGGUUCAAAGGAGAGAUCCGGUACCGGCUGGGCAUGCGGCGCAUUAGCUAGUUGGCGGGGCAACGGCCCACCAAGGCGACGAUGCGUAGGGGUUCUGAGAGGAAGGUCCCCCACACUGGAACUGAGACACGGUCCAGACUCCUACGGGAGGCAGCAGUGAGGAAUAUUGGUCAAUGGGCGCAAGCCUGAACCAGCCAAGUCGCGUGAGGGAAGACGGCCCUACGGGUUGUAAACCUCUUUUGCCGGGGAGCAAGUGAGAGCACGCGUGCCCUUACGGAGAGUACCCGGAGAAAAAGCAUCGGCUAACUCCGUGCCAGCAGCCGCGGUAAUACGGAGGAUGCGAGCGUUAUCCGGAUUUAUUGGGUUUAAAGGGUGCGCAGGCGGGCUGUUAAGCCGGCGGUAAAAAUUCAGGGCUCAACCCUGUCGAGCCGUCGGAACUGGCAGCCUUGAGUGGGCGAGAAGUAUGCGGAAUGCGUGGUGUAGCGGUGAAAUGCAUAGAUAUCACGCAGAACGCCGAUUGCGAAGGCAGCAUACCGGCGCCCAACUGACGCUGAGGCACGAAAGCGUGGGGAUCGAACAGGAUUAGAUACCCUGGUAGUCCACGCAGUAAACGAUGAGCGCUAACUGUCCGGGCCGAGUGAGGCCUGGGUGGUACAGUGAAAACGUUAAGCGCUCCACCUGGGGAGUACGCCGGCAACGGUGAAACUCAAAGGAAUUGACGGGGGCCCGCACAAGCGGAGGAACAUGUGGUUUAAUUCGAUGAUACGCGAGGAACCUUACCCGGGCUCAAACGUAAGAGGAAUAACGGUGAAAGCCGUUAGCUAUUCAUAGCCGCUUACGAGGUGCUGCAUGGUUGUCGUCAGCUCGUGCCGUGAGGUGUCGGCUUAAGUGCCAUAACGAGCGCAACCCCCAUCGCCAGUUGCUAACAGGUAGAGCUGAGGACUCUGGCGAGACUGCCGGCGCAAGCUGCGAGGAAGGCGGGGAUGACGUCAAAUCAGCACGGCCCUUACGUCCGGGGCGACACACGUGUUACAAUGGCAGGUACAGAGAGAAGCCAUCCCGCGAGGGAGAGCGGAACUUCAAAGCCUGUCUCAGUUCGGAUUGGAGUCUGCAACCCGACUCCAUGAAGCUGGAUUCGCUAGUAAUCGCGCAUCAGCCACGGCGCGGUGAAUACGUUCCCGGGCCUUGUACACACCGCCCGUCAAGCCAUGGGAGCCGGGGGUGCCUGAAGCGCGUGACCGCAAGGAGCGUUCUAAGGCAAAACCGGUGACUGGGGCUAAGUCGUAACAAGGUAACCAA
rnacentral:rRNA from 2 species